GGACACGUGCCCGAAAUACAAAGGAUCACCUUGAUAGGGUGAAAGAUAGAGGUUAAUUACCCUCUCGUCUCCU
rnacentral:tRNA from 1 species